CGUGUGGUCAUGCUAGAUGCC
rnacentral:siRNA from 1 species